rnacentral:pre_miRNA from 1 species
UUUCAUCAGAAGAGGAUGCUUUAUAAAACUCAUACACAAGCACGAGGAAGAAAAAUGCAGUGGCAUUUCAAUAUAAUCAAGUAAUUCAUUUUACCCAUCUCCACCAAAGACGGUGACCCCGUUACUAUAACCUUCAAUAGAAUUAGGGUGUAACAAGUUUUAGUAACAAGGUUAUUGCCUUUAGUUGAGAUCGAUAAAACGAAUUACUUGAUUAUACUGGAAGACCCCUGUGAUUUUUUUCCUUGAACUCGUGUAUGAUUUUUAUAAAGCAUGCUCAUCUGACGAGGA